rnacentral:rRNA from 1 species
AUGCAGAUCUUCGUGAAGACCCUGACGGGCAAGACCAUCACGCUGGAGGUGGAGUCCUCGGACACCAUCGACAACGUCAAGGCCAAGAUCCAGGACAAGGAGGGGAUCCCGCCGGACCAGCAGCGUCUCAUCUUCGCCGGCAAGCAGCUCGAGGACGGCCGCACCCUCGCCGACUACAACAUCCAGAAGGAGUCCACCCUCCACCUGGUGCUCCGCCUCCGCGGUGGCGCCAAGAAGCGCAAGAAGAAGACGUACACCAAGCCCAAGAAGCAAAAGCACAAGCACAAGAAGGUGAAGCUCGCCGUCCUCCAGUUCUACAAGGUCGACGACGCCACCGGCAAGGUAACCAGGCUCAGGAAGGAGUGCCCCAACGCCGAUUGCGGCGCCGGGACCUUCAUGGCCAACCACUUUGACCGCCACUACUGCGGCAAGUGCGGCCUCACCUAUGUCUACAACCAGAAGGCUUAG